GACGAACGCUGUCGGCGUGCUUAACACAUGCAAGUCGAACGGAAAGGCCCUGCUUUUGUGGGGUGCUCGAGUGGCGAACGGGUGAGUAACACGUGAGUAACCUGCCCUUGACUUUGGGAUAACUUCAGGAAACUGGGGCUAAUACCGGAUAGGAGCUCCUGCUGCAUGGUGGGGGUUGGAAAGUUUCGGCGGUUGGGGAUGGACUCGCGGCUUAUCAGCUUGUUGGUGGGGUAGUGGCUUACCAAGGCUUUGACGGGUAGCCGGCCUGAGAGGGUGACCGGCCACAUUGGGACUGAGAUACGGCCCAGACUCCUACGGGAGGCAGCAGUGGGGAAUAUUGCACAAUGGGCGGAAGCCUGAUGCAGCAACGCCGCGUGCGGGAUGACGGCCUUCGGGUUGUAAACCGCUUUCGCCUGUGACGAAGCGUGAGUGACGGUAAUGGGUAAAGAAGCACCGGCUAACUACGUGCCAGCAGCCGCGGUGAUACGUAGGGUGCGAGCGUUGUCCGGAUUUAUUGGGCGUAAAGGGCUCGUAGGUGGUUGAUCGCGUCGGAAGUGUAAUCUUGGGGCUUAACCCUGAGCGUGCUUUCGAUACGGGUUGACUUGAGGAAGGUAGGGGAGAAUGGAAUUCCUGGUGGAGCGGUGGAAUGCGCAGAUAUCAGGAGGAACACCAGUGGCGAAGGCGGUUCUCUGGGCCUUUCCUGACGCUGAGGAGCGAAAGCGUGGGGAGCGAACAGGCUUAGAUACCCUGGUAGUCCACGCUGUAAACGGUGGGUACUAGGUGUGGGGUCCAUUCCACGGGUUCCGUGCCGUAGCUAACGCUUUAAGUACCCCGCCUGGGGAGUACGGCCGCAGGGCUAAAACUCAAAGGAAUUGACGGGGCCCCGCACAAGCGGCGGAGCAUGCGGAUUAAUUCGAUGCAACGCGUAGAACCUUACCUGGGUUUGACAUGGAUCGGGAGUGCUCAGAGAUGGGUGUGCCUCUUUUGGGGUCGGUUCACAGGUGGUGCAUGCCUGUCGUCAGCUCGUGUCGUGAGAUGUUGGGUUAAGUCCCGCAACGAGCGCAACCCUUGUUCACUGUUGCCAGCACGUUAUGGUGGGGACUCAGUGGAGACCGCCGGGGUCAACUCGGAGGAAGGUGGGGAUGACGUCAAGUCCUCAUGCCCCUUAUGUCCAGGGCUUCACGCAUGCUACAAUGGCUGGUACAGAGAGUGGCGAGCCUGUGAGGGUGAGCGAAUCUCGGAAAGCCGGUCUCAGUUCGGAUUGGGGUCUGCAACUCGACCUCAUGAAGUCGGAGUCGCUAGUAAUCGCAGAUCAGCAACGCUGCGGUGAAUACGUUCCCGGGACU
rnacentral:rRNA from 1 species